rnacentral:rRNA from 1 species
CACCGCGGUUAUACGAGGGACCCAAGUCGAUGGCCCACGGCGUAAAGAGUGGUUAAGACUUCACGACAACUAAAGCUAAAGAACUUCAAAGCUGUUAUACGCGCAUGAAGGCACGAAACCCAAUUACGAAAGUAGCUUUAAACUUCUGAACCCACGAAAGCUAUGGUA